rnacentral:sRNA from 1 species
AAAUGCCAUUUAAAUCAGUUGAACAGGUUCGUAAAUCUUCUAGUAAGAAAGCGAUGAACUGAUAACAAUGCUUAAAGGAGAGGCAGAUCGUAGCAGGAGGAUAACUCUGUACCAACAAACGCCACGACGCCCAAUUGAGACAGUCUACAGUUUACUGUGGUUCUAUUGCAACAGGAGUGAAAGAUGAAAAAAAAACGAUCAUGAUUGUGAAUUGUGAACAAUCUGACUGUGCAAUUUGAUGAAUAUAUAAUAGUUUUCAUGUUUAUAAUGCUGGACUUUUUUAGAUUAAUAAAAAUCUUUCAAAAUU